rnacentral:lncRNA from 1 species
CGUCCUUCAGACAUGUUCAUUUACCUGUUAAUUAGUUCAUUCAUAAUUUAUUCUUGUUUUCAGGGGAUGUUCCUACAGGCGAGGUCCACAACGUCCCACAUUCCGUGACAGACCAUAGGCAACUCACAGCUUGCAUGCACGGAGCAGAACACGGAAUAAUUUCCUCUCGGCAGUUUUCAUAAACAAGCUCUUCCACCGUUAGUGUGGAAAUGGUAGUUGAACAUUUCCACAAAGAAUCAAAGGUAUGUGAAGCAUCGAAUGGAACGGCGGUUGAAUUACAUUUGUCAGCGGCAUGGCAGUAGCUGUGAGUAGUGCUAUGAAUCAUUCUUAGGACCACGGUGAAUUAUCCAUCCACACACCUACCCAUACAGAUACACACACACUCCACACACCAUCAUCAUUAUGACCGGAUAACCGGAAAAGGUAUACCGCAAUGUUAGUUUACAAACAACGUGUGGACGCGAGAAAACCACUUGGGACUAUGGGUGAUGACUAUUUGUCCUAUGUGCGGGUGUAGGAUGGCACGGUGAUAGAUUAAUUAAUCCCUGAACCAGAAAGACCUUAGUAGUCUGGCGUGGAUGGUGGUCUGUAGGGAGCGAGUGGCUUGGUAGUUCCACGGACCUUGUUCUUCUGUGUGUGGAGAUAAAGAGACAAGCGCGUCACCACCUGUCACCGUCCGACAGCAGGUCCAGUCAUUCUAGGCCAUGGAGGACUGGAUGUGAGCUGUGAUGCUCGUUUAUCUUCGUCGUUGUGUGGCCUGUAGCUGUAAUACUGGACAUGGGAACACACCAUAAAGAAAUAGGAUAGCUUUUCACAGGCCCUGUGUCCCGUCUUACCGUUCGACCCGCGAGGUCCUGCAGAGGGCGGAAGUUGUCUACCAGCUUCAGCCCAGACUCGUCCUCCAGCUUCCGGAAUUCUUCGAGCUGCCAGGAAGACAACAUGCAUUCAGACACCAUCCAAACACGUCUUCAGACAUUCCGCUACGAUUUUUUAUUAAGUAGCUCGAAGCUCAAGUUUGGUUUAGGGGAUCGGCCACGUUGUCGCCUCCCCCCCUCCUUGUCGGUAUCUCCCUCCUACGGGUCUAUACGAGUCAACGUCUGCCACCACUCCUGAUAGUCCGGCAGAGAGCGGCCAGCCUUCACCUGAGGAAGACCUUGAGCGUCUAUCACUUCCUCUCUUAAUCCGAGGGAGUUGCAUGGAUUGGGCAGCCAUCGUUCUCGCCUCAACCCUUCCUUCACGCCACCCACACCCCCUGGUCUAAGGUGCAUUCCAUCGCUCCUGCCGACGAACUUCGUGUGGGACAAGUAACUUUCUUCCAUCAACUGUACGUGUUCCACGGCGGGCUCUUCGCAGCUAGCUUCUACGAGGAUUACUCUACGUAUCAAGAGAACUUGGAGGCAAGACCUGAGGUCCCGUGUGGUUCCCGGCCGAGUGGGCGAGGCUGUUCCUGUUACCUGGUGUUUUUGUGGUUAUUUUGUGUUGUCUUAAUAAUUAUUCACUUAGUGUUUUAUAAUUCCUUAGAUUUUGGAUUGAGUAGAAUUUCCCAAGUUUUCUAGACUGAAGCGGUUGCUGACGUGCUCCUCCUUUAGCUAGAUAUAGAACCUCCAACCUGGCACUGACAUUGUGGCAACCUCGCCAGGAUUCUUCUCUAAUUUCUAAGGUUUUGUGUUUCAGGUCCUUGCUGACCAUUAAGUCGUCGAGAGCGCGCACUCACUGUCUUGGCCCAGAAGUGCGUUUUGGCGUACUGCUGUCGCCUUGUGGUUCUCAUUCCACAUCUCUUUUCAGAGCAACUUGGUUUUUCACUAACCUUUGAUGGUCUUAUCUGGGUGCUCUUGGAGUGCCUGCUUGAGUUGGUUCAAAUAUUUUUGGGGAGUUGGCUGUUCUUCCCUAUUUCCCCCUCCUACACUACUCUGUGGUGGUGUAGAGUUGUUUAACCUUCCUUCUUUCAAGAUGUCUAUUGUUGAGCAGCUGAAGACACAAGCUAUCGAGCUCGGCUUCACUGGAGUUGAGGCAGUAUGUGUUGCAGCGUUGAGCCAGUAUGUGUUGCAGCAGCAACAGUCUUCGAGAGAAGAGCGAGCUCGAGAGAGAGAAGAGCGAAAGCUCCAAGAAAAACGCGAAAUUGAGUUGGCCAAGCUUCGACUAGAGACGGAGAAUCGGCUUCAACUGCCUCAACUCGAGGCAUCGUCUAAGCUGAUUAAAGUUGUUGAAGGUGAGCAUAUUGACCGUCCCCGUAUACGAACUUACAAGGAUGGUGUAGACAUCCGGCCCCCGGUGCCCUAAAAAUCCUCGCGCUUUUAAAAGGGACAGUACUUCAACACUCACGGUGGGUUUCUGUUUGGGAGAUAAGGAAGUGUCCAAGUCUACCUACUGUGUUGCAGGGACCAUAAACGGUUCUUGGACCUCCACCCUGCGACACCGGCUGUUCCAGUCUUCUAGUCUCCGAGGAAGCCCUACCUGAUGUAGACACCACGAAUUGCAGGCAGGUAACCGUUUAUGACUACCUAGGCCGCGCUGAACAGUUCCCUGUACUUAAAUGUUACUUGAUGUGUCCUUACUAUGAUGGUUGGGCCAAUGCUGUUCGAGCCCCAAUAAAGUUUCCAUGCAACAGUUUUGCUUGGUGACAUUCCGGGAGCCCGUAAACCUGACGAUCCUGCCUACCCUUUCCCUGCCCACGUCACCUCCGUCUCCCCCUCACAAGGGAAUGGUGCUGCCGCUGCCCUGACUCAGCCCGACGUCGUGUCGCAGCCCAUGGCCGAGCGUGUAGGUGCUGUACAAACUCGAGCCGGCUCUGGCCGCAUGAAACGCCUUCACCCUUUUGUUCUUCCCAGCUUGGAACCUCUUAAGUGACUCCAUCGGAUUUUGCUCAUUUACAGGAAACGUGUCCCUCACUAACUACUGUCCGUUUUAAGGCCUCUCUCGGACAACCCGAGCUCGCCAGGAAUGGAGCUUCCUAUAAGCUGGUAUGGGUGGACGGCCUACUAUACCGUGAGUGUUUCCUCUACCCAUCCAGGAAAGCUUGGGGAAACGCGUGCUGGUUGUCCCUUCAGAGUGUCGAGGGGUUGUACUCCAGGUGGCCUGUGAGUCCCCUUGCCGGUCACUUCUCUCACAGGAAGACUGAGGGCGAGAUCAGUAAACACUUCUUCUGGCCUGCCAUGGCCUCGGACAUCUGAGACUACUGCCGCUCCUGCGACAUCUGCCAACGUAAGUCAUCCAGGGGGCGGGUGAAGCCUGUUAUUCUCCAAUCCUUGCCUGUGGUAACUGAGCCCUUCUCUCGGGUGGCGGUGGAUGUCGUUGGGCCACUUUCACCUCCUUCCGAAGGCCAUAAGUACAUACUGACCCUUAUCGACCUUGCCACAGGAUUUCCUGAAGCGAUUCUUCUGAAGGACGUGGGUUCCGUCUCUGUCGCUGAGGCACUACUCUCCAUCUUCAGAGUUGGAAUUCCUCAUGAGAUCCUCGGUGAUGAAGGAAUUCGGUUCACAUCGCAACUGAUGGCUGAGCUCCACAAACUUCUUGGCGUGAAGCCACAGUUUACCACCCUGCUGGGAACGGACGGGUAGAAAGGUUGCACGGUCCCCUAAAAGCCGUGCUUCGGAAGCUUUGCCAUGAGAAACCCCGAGAGUGGCAUCGGUACCUUACUCCUGCGCGUUUUGCUCUCCGGGAACUACCUAGUGAUCGUACCGGCUUCUCCGCCUUCGACCUCCUUUAUGGCCGGAGUGUGCGGGGACCUCUUUCUGUUUUAAGAUUUGUGGGAGGACAAGCUUUUGGAGGAGAACGACUGGACCAGUCUACAGUAAGUCAUCGAACUGCGGGAUAAACUUAGACUGUGUUCAGCUUGCCACCCAAGAAGCUUAUGAGUAUUGCCAAGUACAAGUCCUACUUUGACUUAAGAUCUCAGGACAGACAAUUCAAGCCUGGUGAUGAGGUUCUUGUUCUCCCUGAUUCUAAUAAAAAGUUGCUUUUGUCCUGGAAUGGUCCUUAUAAAGUCCUGGAGAGGAGAAACACAGUCUAGACUAUCUCAUUGAUGAACCCAGAGGACCAAAAUUAUACCAUGAUAACCUUCUUAAAAAGUACUUCCGUAGAGCUCAAGUAGAUCUGGCACGCAUUUUUAGAUGAAGUCUCCACUCUUGCCAGUGAUGAAACCAGCUUAGGAGGACCAGUUGAGACGGAUGAUGAAAACCUGUUCUGUCCAUCUGUCUCCCCCUCGUCUGACUCUGUAUCCAACACCCAGAUGGAUUUCGAAUUUCGAUUCGACGCUCGACUGGGAUAAACUGAUGCCAUUAGAAGAUCUAAUCUCUUCCUACCCAGAUAUUUUUUCAGCAACGCCUGGCUGCACCGACACUCUCCAGCACGACAUCAUCCUAACCAGCACCAACACCCAGAUGGAUUUCGAUUCGACGCUCGACUGGGGUAAACGGAUGCCAUUAGAAGAUCUAAUCUCUUCCUACCCAGAUAUUUUUUCAGCAACGCCUGGCUGCACCGACACUCUCCAGCACGACUUCAUCCUAACCAGCACCAGUAGGAUUCGAGCGAAAACUUACGUUGUGCCGAUUCACCAAGUUGAACUCUCCAGCUGGGUAUCAUCCAACCAUCUUGCUCACCACACUGUUCUCCGGUAGUGAUGGUUCGUAAGUCCGAUGGAAGUUAUAGAAUGGCAAUUGAUUAUUGGCAGCUGAACUCCAUCACUGUGUUCGACGCCGAAGCUUCAUGUUCCGUUGAGACAGUUAAGACAGACCUUCACAAGUUUUCCGGCGCCACCUACUUCUCGGAAUUAGAUUUUGCUAAAGCUUACUACCAAAUCCCCUUGACGGAUCGUGCUAAACCUUUGACUGCCUUCUCCACCCACAGAGGAUUGAUGGAAUUUUGUCGUCUCCCCUUCGGUCUCGUCAGCGCUUGUUCCACCUAUAUCCGCCUGAUGAGGAUUGUCUUGGCCAACCUCCCAAAUGUGACUUCUACUUCGACAAUGUCUUCAUUUACUCUACAGAUUGGCCCAGCCACCUCACAGCUAUAACCUCUGUUCUGGAGCGACUCCGCUUGCACAAGCUCACUGCUAAACCCAUUAAGUGUCGGUUCGGGUUCUCUUCUCUCCAGUACUUGGGGUUCCAUCUUGACGGAGUAUACCUACGUCCCCAGCAAGACAAGACUAAGGCUCUCCUGCAGAUAAGCCCACCGACUACCAAGAAAACCCUUCGCAGCUUCCUUGGUAUGAUCUCCUUUUAUAGGUGUUUUAUUCCUAUGGUCUGAGUUCACUGGACCUCUUUCUGAUCUUCUUAAGAAGACCCAGCGGGAACCUUUACAGUGGUCCGAGGAUCUCCUGUCCCGUUUCAACCAUUAUAAGGAUGCUUUGUCCUCUCAUCCGAUCCUUCGGCUCCCUGAUCCUUCAUUCUCUUUCGUCCUCAGGUGCGAUGCUUCCAAUUAUGGACUGGGCGCUGGGCGCUGUCUUUUUACAGUAUGACAACGGGACCCCUCAUCCAGUGUCCUAUGCCAGUCGUAAACUGCUCGACCGUGAACGGAAGUAUGCGAUAACGGAGAAGAAAGCCCUCGCCAUCGUAUUUGGAGUCAAGAAGUUUGACUACUACCUCAAAGAGAAGGAGUUCCUGCUGGAGACAGACCACAAGCCCCUCGUGUAUCUUCAGUCUUCAAAGUGUUCCAAUGGCCGAGUAAUGAGGUGGGCACUAGAACUACAAAGUUACCCAUAUUGGAUAGUUCACAUUGCUGGACGCGACAACGUGGGAGCUGAUCUGCUGAGUUGCUGUCCCACGGAGUAAACUCUUUGUUCUCCACUUUAUGCAUUUUUGGGUACUAGGAAUUUCGGAUUUAAUCUACCUGCAGUAGAUUUUUAAAAAGGGGGCAUAUGUAAGGGCCGAAAUACCUAACUACCCUUAUGUCUAAACACAUUGUACACGACCACACACACACACACACACACACCCUUUCGCAUUAUCAGGUGAAGGUAAUUACCUGCCCUUUUCACUAUUACAGUUGUCUUUUUUUUUUCGCAACAGUAGCUCGAAGCUCAAGUUUGGUUUAGGGGGUCGGCCACGUUGUCCCCUCCCCUCCUCCUUGUCGGUAUCUCCCUCCUACGGGUCUAUACGAGUCAACGUCUGCCACCACUCCUGAUAGUCCGGCAGAGAGCGGCCAGCCUUCACCUGAGGAAGACCUUGAGCGUCUAUCACUCCCUCUCUCAACCCGAGGGAGUUGCAUGGAUUGGGCAGCCAUCAUUCUCGCCUCAACCCUUCCUUCACGCCACCCACACCCCCCGGUCUAGGGUGCAUUCCAUCGCUCCUGCCGACGAACUUUGUGUGGGACAAGUAACUUCCUUCCAUCAACUGUAUGUGUUCCACGGCGGCCUCUUCGCAGCUGGCUUCUGCGAGGAUUACUCUACGUGGCAAGACAACUUGAGGCAAGACCUGAGGUCCCGUGUGGUUCCCGGCCGAGUGGGCGUGGCUGUUCCUGCUACCUGGUGUUUUUGUGGUGUAUUUGCGGUGUUUUUGUGGUGUAUUUGCGUUGUCUUAAUAAUUUAUAUUCAAC